UACAGAGGGUGCGAGCGUUGUCCGGAAUCACUGGGCGUAAAGGGCGCGUAGGCGGCUUGAUAAGCGUGCGGUGAAAGCCCGGGGCUCAACCCCGGGUCGGCCGUGCGAACUGUCGAGCUGGAGCACUGUAGAGGCAGGUGGAAUUCCGGGUGUAGCGGUGGAAUGCGUAGAGAUCCGGAAGAACACCGGUGGCGAAGGCGGCCUGCUGGGCAGUGGCUGACGCUGAGGCGCGACAGCGUGGGGAGCGAACGGG
rnacentral:rRNA from 1 species